CGAUGAUAGUGUGGCGAGACCAUGCGAGAGUAGGACACUGCCAGGC
rnacentral:rRNA from 1 species